rnacentral:lncRNA from 1 species
CAGACAAAAAACUAGUAACUCGUGAAUUUGUAGCAGUAUUAAGGCAGUAUUAAGUUACAGUCAGUUAAUAGUUGGCAGUCAGUACGUGACAGAAUUUCAAAAGUCAGUGCUCGUGAAUUAGUUGUGAACUAUGUGUUCAAAUAUAUAGUACGGAAGGGUACUAAAAAAUCAAUUUUGAGGAAGGAAAAGAGAACAGAAUUUCUUCGAGGAAGGAAUUUUAUCGCCACUCAAGGCAAAUAUAAUACUAAGCCUUAUUUAAAGGAAAAUAAACAAUCAACAUUAAGAUGUCUCACCGAUUGUUUAUAAAUGAAAGACAUCGCCCGUCCAUCGAACUAUUCCCGCGUUAUAAAUUAGAUAUCAAAGAUCUAUUUAUCCAAAGAUUCAUAUAUUGUGUCAGAUUAUAUUACUUUCAAGACCGCGAUAGAGAAUCAAAUAAAAUUUGUUAUGAUUGCUUGGCUUGGUUGUCAAAUGACAACAGAUAAGACUUAAGAUUGAAAUUAAGGCAUAAGCUAAUAUUUAGUAUCGACCUAGAUAGAUUAGCGUGUAAAUACAGGUGUUCCAUUUGUAACGAUACUAUGAGUUAUAUCAGACAAAUACGGAGUGUUACCUGUGUAAAAGCUUGUUUAACCAAUACACCAGGAAUAAAGGAGAUUCGCAAUUAAGAAUAACAUAUGAAGAACUAAGAGAACAUCCAAUUUUGGUAACUAGAUAUAACAACCGGACCAUAUCAAUGUCCGAUAAUUAUAGCGACUCCUAUUUAAAACUCGAAUCUCUUAGGAAUAGCAUUAGGAUGCUAAUAUAAGUAAAUAGUGUUUCCACAUUUGUGUAUUAAAUUAAGUCUAUUAUGUUCAUAUACCUACCAUUAGGACAAGGAACAAAUAAAUGAUUUAAAUACAAUCAAAACCAAAGAAUUAGUUUAUUACUUCAUUUUACGUAGAAAAUACUCACAUAUCCUGAGAAAACCAACUGCGACGUCCAAACUCGAGACGGCAGCUCCGCGGUUUCCAGCGACCACCUGUGGAGCAUACCAUGCUAAAAAACUGGUGACAGCGGCCUAUCCGCGAGUGAAGAUAUCCACAUUAAUGGUCCUCAGGAAACAGGUAACCAUCGUUAAACGACAAGGGCCUCUCGUUCCAGAGGAUAGACGAUAACGCGUUGGUACGAACCACCCGGAACAUGCCAACGGCGGACGUGUAACGUUCGUAACGAAAGUGUCACCAACAUAACAUAUAAAGUAGUGGCAGCGGUGGGAUUUGCCUUCCAGAAUCUCCUAAAAAUUAAUAAAUACCUACCGUAAAAGUUGCGACGUGACAUCACACGCUCUGGGCCCAUAACCUGUAGGAACCCUUAGUAAUAAGAAAGUUAGGAAUAAGUUUCAGAUAGACUUUAUUCAGCGUCACUCUUGUAACAAACGUUUAGACACCAUAAAAUAAAUAAGGAUUAACGUAGAAAACAUAAGAGAACAUAGACUAUAUAAAUCAUAGUAGAAAGACGGUGCUAACAAGGAAAGGGACCCAAGUGUCCCCCUCCGAUUUUGACGAGCUUUAAAUAUGUUGUAAAGUA